rnacentral:lncRNA from 1 species
GAGUGAUCGAAGGAGAUCUAAUGGAAGAGUAUAAGAGCUUUGUAAUCACGAUUCAAGUUUCGCCCAAGAGCGAGGGUAGUGGCAGCGUAGUGCACUGGACUUUGGAAUACGAGAAGCUGCACGGUGGGAUUGAGCAUCCUGAGACUCUGCUGCAAUUCGUUCAAGAUGUCUCUAAAGACAUUGACGGCCACCUCACCCAAGCAAGUUAAACAGUAUCACAUGAUGCUAUUGUUGCCGCUACUUGAAGCACUAUUCAUCUAUUUAAUGAAUAAAGUGACAACUUCCUUUCUCAUGUAUUUUGAUCUGAAUAUGUACGUUUAGAUCAAUAUGCAGUCACGGGGAGGAGCUUUGUAUUUUCUUGCAUGUUUGUCUUUUUAAUUAUGUAUGAAUUCAAUGUGUCCUAUGCUUUUAUUUGUGUUCUAAUAAAUAUUUGUAAGUAUGAUAUCGUAAUCUAUUUCCACUCUUUCUCUUUUCAUUUUUGAGCUGUUUUUUUUUCCUUCAAGGGAGAUAUUGGAGUUUCAAGAUGGAUCAAUCAAUUUCCGAACCAGAAACGAAGAAGUACCUUGAAACCCAAAUUGGUUUCAACGUGUUUGCAGAGGAAGAUCUUGAAGGUCUUGGCCUUAGCUCUUCAAAAUCAUUCAAUCUCUCGACAGAAUUACUCCUCCACCUUCUUCUGUUUCCUCAAAAAAUACCUAAACUUGAAAAACAAACACAUCAAGCAGAGCAAAAUUACAAUCCCAAUCCCCCACCCUAUCAAGAAAAUUAAGAUCAGACAAAAUUAAGAAUUUUCAAUACAAUAAUAUGCUUUAGAUCUUUUAGGGAAUGAUAAUAUUCUUUAAAUGAUGUUGUAGAAACGUUAGUAAAAUAACAGUAAUAUAAAGCACGGCUACAGUAAUCAACAAAUAGUAGCCUUGCGUUUGUCUAUCAUCAAAAAACAACAAACUCGACGGAUUUGGAUUUACACCCUUUACGCACAAAGGAAAGUAAUAAUUUAGUCAUUUAAUAAAUAUUAAGUUGGUUCACAUAUAUAUACAUGUUCCAUAUUUGAUAUCUAACUAAUGUGAGAGUAAGCUUUCCUUUUUACUUUAUAUAAUUCACAAGUGUCUUGCUUUGAGUAUCAAUUUCUCAUUCAUCACUCAACCAUUUUAAGCAUAUAAUAUACCGUUGUAAAGAUCUCAUGGAGUAGAAUAUAAAACUACAGUUUUAUGAAUCAAAUCUCCACCUUUACUAAUCAAGAAUAUGCCUCAAAAUUUAAAAAAAAUCUAUUUUUUUCCAACAAAUGAGAUAGUUUAUUGAUUAGUUCUUUAUCUUGCAUGAAGAAGGGAAACAAGUUAUUUGUGAUGAACUAAAUUCAGGUACAUAUGAACAAUUCAAAUAAAAAUAUCCUCAUAACAAGGUGAUUCUGAGGUGAAACCACAUAUUCCCAUAUCAAUCUAUAUUGAAUAAAAGCUCGACUUUGAAUCACAAAUUUCAUCAAACACAAUGUGCAUGGCAUGCUAACCUGAAACCGGGGACUUUGAGAGACUGCAAUGCGUGGAAGGUGACUACAAAGGCAACCAACACCUAAUGUAACCCAUAUAUGCCAGUGGUGUAAAGACGCAAGAAAUGUGAUUAUCAAAGUAGGGCCAUUUAAGUGUGUAGGACCAUUUAACAAAAUUGUUCUCGAAACCACUUUUUGAAAAUAAAAAAUCGUGUCGAAUUAAAAAAUGAAAGUUGGAGUCGCCACCGAUCUUUUAUUGAGGUGUGAUCGGAUCACUUUAAAAAUGAUUUUGGUCUACGAGUUUCAAAAAAAAAAAAGAGUUCGAGAGUCAGUUACGUACGAGGAAGGAUUAGCACCCUCGUAACGUCCAAAAUUGAUACCGAAUUGAUUAUUUAAUGUCUUAAAGUUGAAUUUCAAAAAUUCGAAGAGAUUAAAAAUGAUUUCCCCUUUUUAUUAAUGUCAUAUUUUAAAACAAUUCUUGGAUAGAUUUGAACGAAUGUAAAAAGGCUUUCUCAGCCCAAGGCAACAAAAUGUCGUACUCCGUAAGUUAGGAUGCAACAUUUGAAUUCCUGAGCAUAAGCUAACCUUUAAAAACCUUUAUUGAAACUUUGUGUAUUUGAAAACUAAAGGUGUUUGACCAUCUUGGUUCAAUGAGGAAAUCGAAACCCUGUAAGUUAUGACACAAUUUCUCGAAGUUCCAAAGACGACAUAUAAGUUUGCCUUUAUUAAAAAAAUCUUGUCUCGAGAUAUCAAAGGGUUAUAUUCAAUGAGUUUGGACACAACGUUUCUAAUUCUUGAGAUAAGCUUUGAUUUGAAAUUUUUACGUUUGAUUUUAAAAAGGCAUACUCGGUUACUUAAAUUCAACAAAGAAAAUUGAAGCCCAGUAAGUUAGGGCACAAUCUUCUGGAAAAUCUUAGAUAUCAAGUAUUGCUUUAUUUUGAAAACUUUUGAAUAAAACGAUUUUAAUGCUUAAAUGGAAUAUAAUCUUUUUGACAAAUAAAACACAAUGAGAUGACAAUGUAACCGCGAAAGAAUAAUUCGUAAGCCAAAAUACAUACAAAUGAACGCAAAUAAUCAAUCAAUACAAACAAGUAAUACAAUGUACAUAAUAACAAUAAUCUCACAUCACAUGUAAAUAUUAACACCAACAUUUAAAAGGUAAUGACCUAAAAGCCUAUCACAAAUGAAAUGUAACUAAUUUAAAACAACUAAAAAAAACAUGAGAGAAAAGAAAUUUGAAAUUAUCAAUAUAUAUACACAAAUUACAUGUAUAUAAAAAAUUAAAAAGAAGUAAUUAAUAUGAAGACUUGAAAUAGUUUAAAAAUAAAAUUUAAAAAUGAAUAAUAAUAUCUAAGUGAAUUUUAAAGUAAGUAUUAUAAGAAGAAAAUCAAAAUAAAUAAAUAAUACACAUAUAUUAAUCUAAAUAAGUAAUACAUAUGAAAUGAAACCCUCAAUAUAAAUAAUAUAUAUAAUAAUAUAUGUAAUAGUUAAAGCAAGUAAAAUAAAAUAGAAUAUUUAAAAGAGAUAAAGUACAUAUUUAUAUAUAGAAAAUAGGUAAAAAUAUAUAAUUUGAAAUCAAUAGUAUAUUAUGUAUAUACAUAUAUGUAUGAUAAAAUAACUCAAUGUAAAUUGUAUAUACAUAUACGCAAUGGAAUUAUGAAAAUAUUAUUGUAUAAAUCUUUAAAGUUAGAAAUAUAUAAAAAUAGAUUUUAAGAAUAUAUUAUAAGAUAAAAUCAUAAAAAUGUAUACAAAUGAUACUAGAUUAACAUAAAAAAACAAAAUAAUACAUUAUGAAAUUAAAAUAUAAUAUAUGAAAAACUUAAAAUAAUAUUACAUAAUAAAAUAAAAUAAUAACAGAAGGACUAAUUUGAAAUUAAAACAGAAAUUUAGGGGUAAAUUUGAAAUAAAUAAAAGGAUAUGAACCACAUUGAACGCACGAAUAACAGGAAAGGGCCAAAAUGGAAAUUAAUCCCUGCCCUCCAAAACGCUGCGUCCCAUCAUGGAUCGAAAUGAAACCAGCAGAAAAUUAUAUGGCCAAAAUUAAAGUAUCAAAAGGACUAGAUUGAACCAUGGCACAAAAAUAGAGGGACUUGGUGCACAAAUAUCCCUCCCCAUACCAAAAUGCACAGAUCUAGCCGCAUCUGGAUCGGGUCAUCAGGUAUCUCAAUACGACACCGUUUUAGAGCCAUUGACACAGGCCCUAAACAGUGUCAUUUUUCCUACUUUAAAUAUCCCCUUUUAAACCCUAAAAUCAGUAGCCACCACCCUAUUUCUCUUCGUCGCUACGCAAGCCAGAAAUCCUCCACUCUCAACUCCGAUUUGGAACAGAGCACGUGGAGAUUCUGACGACACACUCACGUAGGUAUGGCCUCUUUCGUUUCUUUUUAGUUCGCAAUAAAAACAAAUCAAAGGAAACAAAAGAAAGAAAAAAAAAGAAAAAUGGAAAUCGGAAAAUCACCUUAAAAAUUCACUGCUAUAUGUUCUCUUUUUUUAUUGAUUUUUUCCAAUCACUUUUAUAGCUUUGAUUGGCUCCUUUUAUAGCCAAAACAGAAAGAAAAAUGAAAUUCUCGAAACUAUUUUUUACAUUUUUUCCUAUUUUCUGUUAUUAUUUGCUAUUAUUUUGGUUUGGCUUGCUGCUUUGUUGAGCUUGUUGCAGGUGUAUGGCCAGCUAGAGAAGGCCUGGUUCGCAUGCGAGGCACGCGCGUGGCGGUGGCGCAGCACACACGGAGGGCAGCGACUGGUGGUUGCUGUUACUGCUAGGGUUUUAAUUUUUUUGUUUUGUUUUGGGCUAGUGGGCUAGAAAUGCGUUUGUAAUUUGGUUAUUGGGCUAGGGUUGAAUUAAUAAAUUGGGCUUUGGGUUUAAUUUUUGGGUAAUUCGGGUUUAUUGUAAUUUGGACUUUAAUUGUAAAUGGACUUUUAUUUUUUUAUUUUUAUUUGGUUUUUUGAUUUUUUUGUGUUUUUGGGCCCGCGCAUAUAUGGGCUUGUACGAUCAUUUUAUUAAUAAUGAUUUUAAAAUUGUAAAAUAUUUUAUGUAAAAUACUUUUCUUUAAAAAAAUUGUAGAACCAUUCAUUAAUUGUGUACAAACAUGAAAGGGAUUGUCACACCUAUUAAUCGGGUGAAAAAACAUUUUAUGGAAAAUAUUUGUUCUUUAAAAAAGUUGUUCAAUAAUGUUGGUGAAUGGUAAAGAAUUUGUGUUUAAAUUUAUUAAAAACAUGUAUAAUUAUUGUAUUUGUUGUUUUUAGUUGUUUUAUUUAAAAUUUAUAUAAAAACAUGAAAAAAGUUAUGAAUGCUAUUAAGUGAAUGUUCAUUAUAAUCAACCUUUCAUUUUCCAUCUUUCUUAACUCUUCACCUUUCAUCUCCUUGUAAUCCAUUUCCUAUUUAUCUAAUAGCAAAUGUGGUAAUCUCCCUAUAUAUAUAGAAGUAUACGACUUGUAAUGAUAAUGAUGAUGAAGAGAAAUGCAAUAGAAAUCCCCCUUAUUCUCAUAUAUUAUUCUUGUGUUCUUUGAUUUAUUAUUUUAUAACACAUUAUUAGCACGAGCUUACUCAAUAGUAUUCAAUAUUUCGUUGGAGAACAAGUAAUAUAGACGUACAAUGUUCUUAUUGAAGCAACAAUCCUAAGGUAUGUGAUUUUCUAUGCAUGCUUGAAAGAUUUUAAGAUUUCAAUAUUCUUAAUGAAAAAAAAGAAGUUAAAAAUGACGCUCAUUUCAUUUUUUUAAUAGUUAAGUAUGAAUUUAUGUGUUAUAUAUUUCAUGGUAUGCUUAUUUAUGAUCUAAGGCUUUGAAUAAGAUUGAAGUAUCAACAACUUCAAUAUUUUUGCUUAAAUAUUUUUUAGUAAACUUAUUGUGUUUUCAAAAGAUACAAUCUUUCCAAAAACCAGUUGAUUUUAAUGUUUUCUUCGCAAAAAGUUUGAUGUGAUCCUGAUCGCAUCAUGUAAUGUCACAACCCAACGCCGUCGAGAUUGGCCUAAACACGAGGGCCCCAAGUGCAAGAUGAAGCUAAUUUUUAGCUCAUUUGAAUUUCUUUUCGUGUGGUUCAACUCAUUCGAGCUCAAGUUAGCUCAUUCGUGCUCAAGUCAGCUCAUUCAAGCUCAAUUUAACUCGUUGAGCUCGUUAUUAGCUCUUUAGCUCUUUUAAUUUAAUUUGCCGGAAUAAAUUAAUUAGUUGAGUUAGUUAUUUUAGCUCAAAUAAUUACUAAGUGUUUAAUUAAGAAAUCUGGACAUUUUAAUUAUGUUUGUUUAUUGCAUGUUUAAAUUGUUUUAAUUAUUACCUAGCAUAAAUGUGUUUGCCUUAUUACAAUUAUUUAAUGUGUGCGAUUUAAGCUAAGUAAAUUUGUUGAAUUUGCUAGGACAAUGUACAUGGACGGCAAGAAGAGGUGGACUGCAACAAGCAUAAAAGCCGAAUUAAUGUGGAGGUGAACGGCAUGAAAUUAAGGAAGCAUUUGGCCAACAUCAUGCAUAAUUCAUGGAAGAAUUUGAGGAAGCAUUUGACCAACAUCAUGCAUAAUUCAUGGAAGAAUUUGAGGAAGCAUUUGACCAACAUCAUGCAUAAUUCAUGGAAGAAUUUGAGGAAGCAUUUGGCCAACAUCAUGCAUAAUUCAUGGAAGAAUUUGAGGAGGCAUUUGACCAACAUCAUGCAUAGUUCAUGGAAGAAUUUGAGGAAGCAUUUGAACAACAUCAUGCAUAAUUCAUGGAAGAAUUUGAGGAAGCAUUUGACCAACAUCAUGCAUAAUUCAUGGAAGAAUUUGAGGAAGCAUCAUGGCCGAAUUUGGCUUCCAAUUUUACCCAUUCGGCUACCCUUUUGUUUUGCCUAUAAAUAUGUGUUAAAUUUCAUUGUAAAAAGAGAGAAGAACCUUGAAUUAAUGUUUUUACAUUUUGUGAGAUUGUUUACAACUCUCAUUGUUCUCCAAAGACUCGUUUGACUUAUCAAGUAACCCUUGUGGCGUCAACCCAUUCUUCUUAUCCGAACUUAUCACUUUGCAUCCAAAGUGUGGCGUUCAAGUUAUACCGAGGUUCCUAUCAUCUUUGAUAGUGGGUCAAGGUUCCAUUUUAUUCGUUUUCCAUCCAUACAACAUUUAACCUUUCCUAAGUAUUCGUAUAAGUCCCGGGUUAACACACUUAUAUUGUGUUGGUUCAACUUGAAUACUUGGUUUUCAUUCACCUAUCAUCCUCAAUACACUUCAUAACCCCUUUUGAACUAAAUUUGAGCCUUUAUCCCUUCUUUCUUAACCUAUCUUCGACAAACCUUGAUAUUACUCCAAUUCACGAUCGGGUACAUCAACGACUCGACUCUCAUCACCGAGGCCGGGGCGUAUCAUCUGGUAUCAGAGCUAGCCGAAUCGGAGUAAGAAUCAUCAUCUUUGAUAUUAUGGUUUUGUAAAAAAAAAUCAAAAAAAAAAUUUGCCUACGGUCUAGGCGCGGACGAAAAGAACGUGAAAGAUCCGUAAAAAAAAAAUUUUUGCCUAUGGUCUAGGCGAGACGAAAAGAACGUGAAAGAUCCGUAAAAAAAAAAGAGUCUGGAAACCCUUCAACAAUUUUUUUUGAAUCAUAAUCUACACUCCUUUAUACCCCUUUGAGUGAAUUUUCACGUUUUCAAAAAAAAAAAUUUAUCCAAUUUAUUAUUUUUUUCUUUCUUUCUUCUUUUGUAUUCGGUAUUAAAAAAAAGAAAAAUUCAAAAAAAAACAAAAAAAAAUUCGGAAUUAAAAAAAAAGUGAUUGAAAUUCAUUUUAAGUUUUGUUUGAUAGCCUACCAUUUCCGACAUCAUUGCCCACCAAGCCAACUCAAUUUUGUAAGCCGACGACAAACGGUAUUGAUUCGUCUAUUUAGUUUGCGAGGAACUUCGAGAGGUAAAAAAAAUCGACUGGAAAAAGGCAAGAGUGAUUGGUGUGAGUUCAUUCGAGAGAAGAAAAGCCAAAAGCGAGCGUAAACGCGAGUGGAGUGAAAAUUUUCUUUCCGAGUGUCUUGCGAAGUUUUGUGGUGAGGUAUUUACUUUCUAUUUUAAACACUUAUUCUUUUUAGCAAAAAAAAAUGUCUCAAGAAGAAUUUUCCGAGUCAGAAUUCCAAUAUUUGAUGCAAGAAGUGCGUAGAAUGGUGAAAUCAAAAUUUGAUAAAUUGCAUAAUCGAUUGGAUCGAAUAGAGAAAAGAGCCCAACGAAAGAAAAUUUCAUCGAGUCAAGAGACGGAGUUAAGAUCAUCUCGACGACACUACUCAACAAGAGACUCUUAUCAAGACUUCUAUUCAACAAUGCGUUCGAGACCAAGAGAAGCAAACUCCGAGUUUGAGUCCUUUCGAGAUAAUAAACGAAAAGGUAAACAUGUCUCUACAAGUGCCUCAAUUUAUUCAUCUACGAAGGAUUAUUUACGAAUAGGCGAACGUGUUUCAAGAGUGUCAAAGUACUCGGCUACGAAAGAUUUAUUACAAAGAGAUGAUUGUCAUUUGUAUGAAGAAUCCUUUUCUUAUUCUCAACAAAAGGAUUCUCAUUUUGAUGAUUUCUACUUUUGUAAUGGAAUUGAAAUAGCAUGUGAAAAAGAAAAAGAGCGCGAGCGAGAAAAUGAAAAUGAAAAAGAAAUGAAAGAAAAAGAAGAUGAGUGUGAGAUAGAAAAGAAAAUUGAAAAUGAGAUUGAGAAUAAAAACGAGUGUGAAAAAGAAAAGAAAACUGAAAAAGAGAGUGAGAUUGAAGGAAGAAAUGAGAGUGCAAAAGAAAUGAGUGAUAUGGUAAAGGAAAGAGGAUUUGAAAAUGAGUUGGAAAAAGAAAUAAGCGAAAAAGAUGAAAGUGAACAAGAAAGGAGUGUUGUUACUAACCAUCCUAUGAAUUUUCCUUGUUUUGUUUCUACUUUUCAGGUUUCUCAAAAUCCCAUCGAUCAAUUUCAACUUCAAUACUUUUCUGAGGAGAGACGAUUUCGAUUAGUCGAGAAAGGUAAAAUCAUAGAUGACUCUAUUCCACCAGCGCCUAAAGGUAAGCAUGGUAAGGGUUCUAUGUUAGUCGAACUUCAACAAAUUCAUAUGCAUGAUAAUGUUGAGAUUGCUGAAGAAUUAGUUAGUAGAAGACUUUCCUAUCCUGAUAUGUCUAAGUAUCAAUUUUUGAUUGGUAAUGACUUUGAUUGGGAUGAUGGAUUGAAAAGUUUUCCUCAAGAUAUUUCUGAUGUUUACAAGUUUGAUGAUGAAACAAGAUUAAAACAACACAAACAAAAUUUGGGAUUGUGUGAUGAAAAGUUGACAUCUAAUCUGUUUGCUUCUGUUGAUCAUGUGAAUUAUCUAAUUUGUGAUUUUGAAAAUUGCUCCAUGUCGUGGUUUAAAAGGUUUGAACAUGUUUUGCAUAAUCAUUACUUAAAAUUACAUCGUUUCCUUUUUAUGAUACCGAUUUUGGAAUUGUCAUAUCAAAUUGGAAUGGCAAGAGGAAACUUUGUUUUUGACCCCGGUGCAUAUCAUUUUAAAUUGUUGUCAAAAGGAUUCGAACUAUGGGAAGUUGACUUCAAAAAUUAUAGCUAUCAAGUGCCUUGUGACCUAGGUUUGUUGCAAUCAAUGAAUUUUUUAAUUCAUUUUGAUAAGGUAAGACCAACUUCUACUUUUGAUCCCGUUAUUGACUCAUAUGUUCACUUGUUGAAUAAGAUCUUUAAAAAUUCUUUUGAGUUUAUGAUUUCUAGUGUCACUAACCUAUCUCUUUCUUGUGUAGGUGACACUUCAGAAUGGUUCCCUCCAAAAGAGGGAGGGCGUGGAAAUAAUUCAAAAUUUUCUCGAACCAUUCGUGAUUUUCAAAGUUUUGGAAAUGAUUCUAUUCGGGUCAUGAACAAAAGGGUUCGAGAUCUUGAAAAAAAUUUUUUGAGCAAGUGGCCCGAUUUGAGGACAAAUCGUCUUCAAGAUGGAGGGUAUGAUGUGAUCCUGAUCGCAUCAUGUAAUGUCACAACCCAACGCCGUCGAGAUUGGCAAAUCAUAGAUGACUCUAUUCCACCAGCGCCUAAAGGUAAGCAUGGUAAGGGUUCUAUGUUAGUCGAACUUCAACAAAUUCAUAUGCAUGAUAAUGUUGAGAUUGCUGAAGAAUUAGUUAGUAGAAGACUUUCCUAUCCUGAUAUGUCUAAGUAUCAAUUUUUGAUUGGUAAUGACUUUGAUUGGGAUGAUGGAUUGAAAAGUUUUCCUCAUGAUAUUUCUGAUGUUUACAAGUUUGAUGAUGAAACCAGAUUAAAACAACACAAACAAAAUUUGGGAUUGUGUGAUGAAAAGUUGACAUCUAAUCUGUUUGCUUCUGUUGAUCAUGUGAAUUAUCUAAUUUGUGAUUCUGAAAAUUGCUCCAUGUCGUGGUUUAAAAGGUUUGAACAUGUUUUGCAUAAUCAUUACUUAAAAUUACAUCGUUUCCUUUUUAUGAUACCGAUUUUGGAAUUGUCAUAUCAAAUUGGAAUGGCAAGAGGAAACUUUGUUUUUGACCCCGGUGCAUAUCAUUUUAAAUUGUUGUCAAAAGGAUUCGAACUAUGGGAAGUUGACUUCAAAAAUUAUAGCUAUCAAGUGCCUUGUGACCCAGGUUUGUUGCAAUCAAUGAAUUUUUUAAUUCAUUUUGAUAAGGUAAGACCAACUUCUACUUUUGAUCCCGGUAUUGACUCAUAUGUUCACUUGUUGAAUAAGAUCUUUAAAAAUUCUUUUGAGUUUAUGAUUUCUAGUGUCACUAACCUAUCUCUUUCUUGUGUAGGUGACACUUCAGAAUGGUUCCCUCCAAAAGAGGGAGGGCGUGGAAAUAAUUCAAAAUUUUCUCGAACCAUUCGUGAUUUUCAAAGUUUUGGAAAUGAUUCUAUUCGGGUCAUGAACAAAAGGGUUCGAGAUCUUGAAAAAAAAAUUUUGAGCAAGUGGCCCGAUUUGAGGACAAAUCGUCUUCAAGAGGGAGGGUAUGAUGUGAUCCUGAUCGCAUCAUGUAAUGUCACAACCCAACGCCGUCGAGAUUAGCCUAAACACGAGGGCCCCAAGUGCAAGAUGAAGCUAAUUUUUAGCUCAUUUGAAUUUCUUUUCGUGUGGUUCAACUUGAAUACUUGGUUUUCAUUCACCUAUCAUCCUCAAUACACUUCAUAACCCCUUUUGAACUAAAUUUGAGCCUUUAUCCCUUCUUUCUUAACCUAUCUUCGACAAACCUUGAUAUUACUCCAAUUCACGAUCGGGUACAUCAACGACUCGACUCUCAUCACCGAGGCCGGGGCGUAUCAUCUAUCAUCUUUGAUAGUGGGUCAAGGUUCCAUUUUAUUCGUUUUCCAUCCAUACAACAUUUAACCUUUCCUAAGUAUUCGUAUAAGUCCCGGGUUAACACACUUAUAUUGUGUUGGUUCAACUUGAAUACUUAGUUUUCAUUCACCUAUCAUCCUCAAUACACUUCAUAACCCCCUUUGAACUAAAUUUGAGCCUUUAUCCCUUCUUUCUUAACCUAUCUUCGACAAACCUUGAUAUUACUCCAAUUCACGAUCGGGUACAUCAACGACUCGACUCUCAUCACCGAGGCCGGGGCGUAUCAAAGUUGUCUUCCAAUUUAUUUACUACUCAAAAAUUCAUUCAUUAUAUUGCAUCGAAAAAGUGAUAAUCGAUUGGGUUUUAAUUUAAAAACCAAAUUUCAUGCAUCUUUAAUUAAAUUCCAAAAUCUAAUAACCUAAUCAACUUAAAUGUCAGGCAUGUCAAUAAUUAACCCCAAAAUUUAAGUCUCAUGCCACUGUUCAUAUAAAAAAAUUUAGUUCCCAAAUAACUGGCAUUAUAAAUAAUAUGUCUAAAAUACUUUUAUAAAAAACACUAUACGAGACAAGCCCUCCGAAUGUCUAGUCUAUGUCCUAAUCUUGUGGGUUAUUUAUAAAGUUGGAAAUUAAGGGGGUGAGCUUAAGAGGCUCAGUGUGAGCCUAAACACAAGACAAAUUAGUCAAAAAAAAAGGACAAGACACACAAAAUAAAAUUUCUCAGAAUAAUCAUAAUCGGUAUAGCAAUACAGAGAACAUGGCUUACAAAAUAUCAAUUUUUCAGUUAACACAUCAAUAUAGCAUUUCAUAAUUUUUUAUUUGCUUGUGCAUGCUCAUGAUUGGAAAUGUAAUUUCAGUUUAUUAGAAAAGAUCCUACCCAACUCCGCAACACAUCACAGUAAGAGUGCCCCAGAACGCAUCUAUUCCUACACACCACGUUGUGGAUAAACCACCAGUAAUUGAAGAUGAACUACCAGUAAUAAAAAUAGUGGGUAAACCACUAUUAUUUUCAGAUAAAAAGUAUGCAGAUAAACUGACAGUAAGUUGUGGGAACCACCAGUGUUUGCAGAUUAUUAAACUGCCAAUACUUACUCCAUUCAUAUCAUCCCACCCAUGUAAUGCAAUAUGACAUGCUUGUAACAAAAUAGUACAAAAAUAGUAGUCAUGCUUAUCAUGCAGCCAGUUUAACAGAAGCAGUAGGUAUGCUGAACAUGCAAUCAAUAAAACAAAAGCAGUAGCAGCAAUAACAAAUUGUCAAAUAUACAAUGACAGUAGGCAUGUAUCAUUCACAUAUCAUACAUUAUAAUUAUUCAAUUCAGCUGAUCAGAUCAUAGAUUUUAGAAUAUUCAUAAUAUUAGGGUCUCAAUUAAGUGAAUAUAAAAUUUAAAACAAUUCAGGGACUAUGCAAUGACUAAAUUGAACAUAUCACAAAUUUCUAGGCAAAAUUAUAAAAUAGAAGUCACAAGGCCGUGUAGAAGGCUGAUGCCGUGUGGGAAGGGGUACAGUGUCAUAUAUCUAGGCUAUGUAAUAGCCUGGUGUCGUGUGAAAAAUGAUAAAAUACCCUACAAUAAGGACACGACCGUGUGGCAGACCAUGUAAUAGCCUGAUGCCAUGUGGAGCAUGAACUACCCUAAAAUUUACAAGUGCACAUGGUCAUGUGGUCCUCACACCUGUGUGGGAGACCGUGUGGUCCUAAAACUCCACACUAUCACUAUCGAUUCACUUAGAAAAGACACACACCUUUCACCAUGGGUCCAAUUGGCGCUUUUCACAAUCGAUUUUGAUUUUAUUCACCUAGAUUCGAUCCUUCAACGAUAAAUACUCACGAAUUAACAGUUGGUAUCAAGAUUUGGCAAGAUUAUAAAAGAUUUCGAAAGAUCCAAAAAAAAAUUGAUUGAUUGAACUGAAAGAUUAAUAUUGGAUAUUCGUACAACAGAAUUACGAAAUCUAAUAAUUGAAACUAAGUGUAGUUAUCGGCAAAGAUUUCAAAUGCUACUGACGAUGAUUCUAAAUAUCGAUAGAAAUUAAACGAACAGAAAACAAUUCGAUAGGGGAAAGAAAAAUAAUUAACAGCACAAAGAAGGAAAUAAGGUGCUAAAAUGAAAGAAAAAUGAGAGAAAAAAUAAAUGGAAAACUAAUUCUACUAGAAUUUUGGGAAGGGGCAAAGUGAAAAAUAAGAUAGGAAAAAUUGGUUAAAUACCUAGGGCUAGUAAACCCUAGGGGCGAUGCAUGUAAUUUACCCAAUCUUGCCAAAAAUUAAAAGCAAAUGAAAGGGGAAGGAUGGGGCUUGAACCUAGGAUCUCUAUGAAGAAUUUGCUAACUUUUAACCAUUAAGCCUAUAACUCAUUUCUUCUUUAUAUUUCGGGGUGUGACAUGAAGAGACCCAAGGCAGAACUUUUGAUAAAACCCUAGAAGAGGUUUAGGUACCUAAAAUUAUGAAUAUAAUUAGAUAUAUCAAUUAGUUAUGUCAUAACCAAAGAUGAUGGAGCUGACAAAAGGAAAUUUUUUUCAACAAUGAUAAUAUACAUAUACCACUUCAAUAUUAUGGAAAAGUGAGGAUUUUGAAUGAAAAUAUACUUGAAAGAAUUGAGAUGAGAACAAGUCAUCAAAAUAAAUAAACACUUCUAUUAUAACUUAUGUAAUGUAUCUUAGAUAUGAAGUCCAAACACCAGAAGGUGUAAAGCCAAGCGGAGUACAUGUUAGCAUAAUAGCGAAAAAAAUACAAGUUUAUUUGACAUAAAUUAUUUAUUUAUUUAGCAAAAAAUACAUGUUAGCAAAAUUAUUUAUUUAGGUCUAGUAAAUUUGUAUUCGACUGAUAUAAAACUCAAGUUUGAUGAAAAAAUCAUUAAAUGUGAAUAUGAUUUUGUUAAAGAGUUUUUAUUAAUUAAUGUAUUUAUGCAUAUAGGUUAUUAUCAUCAUUGUUGAUAUUAAUGUAUCAAAUAUCAUUAGAGUUCUUGAAGAAUUUUCAAUAGUAAUAAUUAUUCAGUAGAUAAACUUUAUAAUAAAAGUACAUCUAAAAAUUAAAUUUUAUCUUAACCUAAAGAUUGAGCGUUCAAUAAGAACAAAUGCUCAUGCAAUGAUGUUAUAAAAUAAUAGUCCUGAAGUAUCAAUUAUUUAUGUGUCCAAUACACUCAUUGUAUUGGUAAUAUUGAAUGAUACAAUACAUUAUGCUUUAUAAAGUUGUUGGCAACAUCUAAAGCAUGAGAAUGCAAUUGAAUUUUAUUGAUAUAUUGAUACACAUAAACAAAAUUUUGUUGUAUAUGUUGAUGACUUUCUGUUGGUAAAUAAGAUUGAAUGUCUGAGUAUUGAGUUAUAAAAUGAUGUUCAAAUAAGGGUGAUCAAAAUAUGCACUAUUGUAACACCUCUCACUCGAUGCGAAGAAUAAUCGAGAAUUCAAUUAUGCAUUCCCUAUCACUACAUUUGAGAAGUUAGUUUUUAGUAUUGGAUUGCGUCGUCUCAAAGAUCUUAAGUGAUGCUUACAUGAGGGGGAGUAAACUCGCACUAUAUUUUUCUUUUAAGGUUGUGACAUAUUGUGUAUUAGAGGAUUAUGUACUUUUUCUUCCUUCACUAGAUUUUUGUCCCACAGGGUUUGUUAUAAUAAGGUUUUUAAUGAGGAAUAUCAUUUAUACAAUGAACAUCCAAGGGGAGUGCUAUGAAUGCUAUUAAGUGGAUGUUAUUUAUAAUCAACCUUUCACAUUUCCUCUUCUUAACUCUUAACCUUUCAUCUCCUUAUAACCCAUUUCCUAUUUAUGUAUUAGAAAAUGUAGAGUCUAAUCUCCCUGUAUAUAUAUAGGAGUAUACUACUUGUAAUGAUGAUGAAAAAGAAGAGAAAUGCAAUAGAAAUUCCCCUUAUUCUCAUCUAUUAUUCUUGUGUUAUUUGCGUUAUUAUUAUUUCAUAACAAAAAAAAAAUCUAUCAUAAUAAUAUUGAUUAUUUUUUAAAAAUAUAAAUAAACAAUUUUUUUCCUAACUGGAUUGAUGCCUGAUAAACCUAAAAAUCAACUCAGGCUUCAUAAUCAAUAUAGAUAAUAUAUUUAAUUAUUACCAAUAUAAAUUUUGUUUUAUUUGGUAAAUAAGAUAAUGAUUGAUAUUUAAUGGAUAUAAACAGAUGCAGAGUGAUGCAUAAUCAGAUCAACAAUAAUAGGUUUUCUUUUUUAUAUUAAAAUCAAUCUAUACCUAUCGAUACUAUUAUAUUACCAUUAAAUUGGUAUGAAAUCGCGUUCUUCAAUUGAAGAAACUUAGAAUCAAAGGCGAUCUAACCCUCUCAAUUAUCUUAGCAAUCCAUAUAAUAUUAUAUUUGAAAAGGUAAAUUAGUUCUUGUCUUUUGUAUAUAUUUAUUUGAUGAAUCAAUAUCAAUAUAAAACUAAUGAUCAAUAAAAUCAGGUGAUUGAUCCACUUAAUUCAAUUAUUAUUAUUUUUAUACCAUUUAUAACUCACUAUUUUUAAAUUAAAAAAAUAGUAAAUUUUAUAAUACAAAACUAAUAUGUUUGUUGCUAUAAUUCAAGUAUAUGGAAUGGGAAAAGUUGAAGCUUUAUUUGGUUUUUGUUUGAUUCUAUUCCAUAACACCUGGUGUAGAUUAGAUAACCCGACAGUUGUGGGAGUUGGUUGGAUCAGUUGAGAUGGGUCAAAGACUUAUUUAUCACGUGUCUAUUUAAAUAUUAUUGACCAACCCGGACAGAUUAAUUAUUUAUUUAUUUUAGAAAUUUAUUUAUUAAAAUAAAUACUUUUAUAAAUAAAAAAUAUAUUUUUUAAAAACCUAAGACUUAAACCAAAUUCAAAAUUUUUCUUUUUAAAAAAAAUUAUUUUAUAAAUAAUAAAUUUUAUUAUACGUCUGAUCUUACUUUUUAUUUCUCGUCAAAUUUGUCGAGCCUUGGAUAUCACCUUCUCCUUCAACCAUUGAUUUCAAUAACGCUUACUUUGAACUCCUUAAUUUCCACAUCUUCCAUCAUCAUGUCGUCGAACUAGGUAUUAGUUGUGGACCUGUCGCUAUGGCCUUCUACCUAUUGGGUCUCCAAGACUUCAUCCUCACCUAUAUAUCUUUGGCCAUACUCGCCUUCAAGCACAACUGCAAAUGCAACAAACUUGUUAUGACCAACAACCUAAAAACAUUGAUUUUCACUCUUUUUGACUUUACGUUGUAGUUUUUGACCCUGCCUAAGCAUUGAUUUUCAUUCACAUACUUACUCUGUUUUAUUUCCUCUGUUUUAUAGUACUUGGAAGCUUGUAAAGGUCGGAGCGGGUCGGAGCAAGAUCACACUAUCCAUCAGCUUAUUUUGGUAUUGUCGAAACCACUUUUUUAUUUUGAAAAAUGGUGAUCGACUUUUGAAAAUAAAAUGGGAGUCGCCACCGAUCUUUUAUUAAGGUGUGACAGGUUCACCAUUAAAAUGAUUUUUGGUCUACGAAUUUUGAGAAAAUAGGUUCGGGAGUCGGUUACGCACGAGGAAGGGUUAGCACCCUCGUAACGCCCAAAAUUGGUACCGAAUUGAUUGUUUAAUGUCUUAGUACCGAGGAUUUGAAAAGAUUUUAAAAAUACGAUCCUUUUAAAGUUCAAAUUUGAAUAAACCAAAUUGAAUAACAAGAUGCACUCAUUUUGAAGAAAUAAAUUGCUACACUCAGUGAGUUAGAAUGCAACAAUUCAAUCGUCAAAAUUAAGUAUUUUCAAAUUUUGAAAUGAAUUUUGAAGAGGUUGUUCGGUCAUUUAAGUCAAACGAGAAAUCAAAGUCCAGUGAGUUAGGUUUCGAUUUCUCGGAGUUCUUAAACAUCAAACAUUGCCUUUAUUUUAAAAUUGGGAUAACAGAAUGUCACAUCCAGUAAGUUAGGAUCUGACAUUUUGAAAUCUUAGAUGCUUAGUUUUAAAAUCGUACGGUUUUAAUAAAAUAAGCACAUGGCUACCUAAGUUUAUUGAGAAAAAUUGGAACCCAGUAAGUUAGGGCACAAUUCUCUCAAGAAUUAUAAACGCUAGGCUUUUUUUUUAUAAGAAAUAGGAUGAUGAAAGUAAAAUUUUUAAAAGAAAUAUGUAAUGUAAAAGAUAAAUGAUAAUUCAAACUUAGACUAAGAAGUAGCCAAAUAUGAAGUAGAUAAAUACAAAUAAAGUAGCAACAAUAAUUUUAUUCACAUUAUACAUGAACUUAAAAUAAAUUUGGCAUAAAAAUGAUAAUAACAUUAUAGAUCAAUAUUUUGAAACGAAUUCAUAACGACUAAUAUACAUUUAUUAAUUUCACAAAAAUAGUAUACAACGUAACCAUAUAAAUAUACCAUACAUAUAUAUAUAAUGAGGUAAUUUAUAUACAUAAGUAAGUAAGAAAACAAAUUACAUAUAAGUAAAAUCGAUUCAAAAAUACAUAUAUAAACAUAUUAAAAACUCUUGAAAUUAAUAAUCUUAAUAAUAUCUAACAUCAUAAUAUUAACAUAUAUAUAUUUUAAAAUAUUUAAUAAUUUAUGUAUGUAUGAAGAAUUGUAUUAUAUGUAAAAAAUAUUAUUAUGUAAAUAUUUAAUAUAAUAUAUUAAAAAGAUAAAUCUUAAAACAAAUAUAAAACAAAAUAUACAUAUAAAUUAUAUCAAACCAUCAAAAAUAUGUAUUAAUGAAUAAAUUAAGUAAUAAUAUAUUAAAAUUUUCCUAAAAACGUAUGACAAAAUACAAAAAAAAUUACACGAUGAAUUAAAAUGGUAUAAUUAAUAAUAUAGAAUAAUAACUUGUUAUAUUUUAAACAAUAAUAAUAAAAUUUAAAAACUAUCAAAAGCUAAAUAUUAAAAUAAUACUAAAUUUUUUGAUAUAUGUCAAAAUAGGAUUAAAUAUAUUUAAAAUCUAAUGUUAAAAAUAAAAAAGCAAAGAGAAAAAAACAUCAUGCACUAAAUCGAAAUCUGACUUAAUAUUGAGGGACUAAAUUAGCAAUUUGACGCAAAAAAUAAAUAAUCAAAACCAAUCACAGAAACAACACCGUUUGACCAUGGAUUUAAAUGAAAACAAGGUUAAAUAUGCGAUACAAAUUAAGAAAAAUGGAAAGAAAUCCGAUUGAAACUGAGCAAAACAUAAAGGGACUCUCAGCGCAAAUAAACCAAUAAGUCAGAAUGCGCGGAUCCUCCCCGGGUCGGGUCACAUGCGCGGGUUAUAGGGCCAAUACGGCACCGUUUUAAGGCCACUGAAGCAGGCCUUAAACGGCGUCGUUUUUCACACAAUAAAUACCCUACUUUAAAACCCUAAAAUCAGCAGUUAUCAGCCGUAAACAAAUUAAAAAAAAAAACUAAACGUUUACCCCCCAUUCCAAGGUCGCGCCGCUCAGAAAAGAUUGCUCAGAGGCCUUUGAACCAUCGUCUGACUCCGAUUGCGACGGAGCAAAUGAAGAUCCGGCUAAUCAAGUAAACUCCUCGCUCUCUAACCUUAUUUUCUCUUUUAUUACAGUAUUGUUAAUGAACAAAAGAGCCAAGAAAAAGAACAAAGAAAUGCGAAGAAAAAAAAAUGAAAUCACCUUCCCCUUCCUACUAUAUGUUCUUUUCUUUUUUUAUUGAUUUUUCAAAAAGCGGAUCCCUUUUAUAGUAUGUUCUUUUCUUUUAUUGGCUUUAUUUGCAGGUACGGCGUACGGGGGUGGACGUGGCACGUACAGAUGUGCGCGGGCACGCGCGUACGGAGGCUUGCGUGAGUGCUGCUACGUGCGUGGGGAGUGGCUCGGGGGCAUGGUUCGUGGCGCACGUGAGGGGAGACUGUUGGCUGGGGUGCUUGGAGGCUGAAGGGGAGUUAGAAACCCUAAGGUUUCUGUUUCCUGAAACAUAGUGGGCUAUUGAGUGUUGGGCUUGUGCAACCGGGUUAGGUUAAGUUGGGCCAUACAGGUUUAAUAUGUAUUGAGGCUGGAGGGUUAGGUCUUUGUAAAUGGUUUUGGGCCACUGUAAUAUGGGCUUUUGGACAUUUAAUUUUUGCUUUUAUAUUGGUUUUAUUUUACUAACGGGCCGGUCAAAUUGGGCCUGUUACAGAUAUAAUUAGUAAAAUUUCCCUUGGUAUAAUGACAUGUACAGGUUAAAUUGACCAAAUGAUGGCAUAUUAAUAUUUGGUUGUAAUUAGUCAUUGGAAUGGCUAGUGAUGGUAUGUUUUGAUAUAUAUGUGUAUGAGACCAUAUUAUGUUGAUAUGUGUUGUGUGUUUGAAUUGAUAUACAUAUUAGGUAUAAAUAUACUUAAAUGAAUAUUUGACCAAUUUGGUAAGUUGGUCACUUGAAAAUAUGUGAUGAUAUGUCAUGCAUAAGAAUUGGUUUUGGUUUGAUCUAAAUGUUUUGAAUUGGUUUGGGAAUGUGUUAAAAUGUUAAUGUAGGUGCAAGGCAAAUUUGGGUGAGAAAUAAGGCUUGGAAAUGGUCUUAUUUUGUCCACACGGGCAGAGACACGGGCAUGUGUCUCAGCCAUGUGUGACAUACGGGCAGAGACACGGGCGUGUAUCUCAGCCGUGUGUGACACACGGCCAUGCGCACGGGCGUGUGGUUUGGCCGUGUGUCCUCUGCAUCAUAAAUUUGAGAAAUAGAAUGCUUCAAAUUGCUCACACGGGCAAACACAUGGGCGUGUGUCUACACACGGCCUAACACAUGGGCGACUUGGCCGUGUCACCCUUGCACCUAAUUUUCGAAAAUUAAAUUGUCCACAUGGCCUAGCAUAUGCGCGUGUGGCUGGCCGUGUGACCCAAGUCAGAGAGUUACACAGGUAUGGACACAGCUGUGUGCCUCACAUCGAAUGCCCACAUGGGCUGGGGCACGGGCGUGUCACUUGGCCGUGUGAGUCACUCGGCCUAGCCACACUGGUAUGUGUUCCUUGCACCUAUGAAAAAUUUUGAGAUUUUGCGAAAAAUUCUCUGAGUUUUCGAUUUAGUCCCGACUUGUUUCUAAAGCAUAAAUUGGGUCUCGAGGGCCCAUUCAAGGGACAUUAUGAUUGAAUAUGUUUAAUUUUGGUUAUGAAUAGUAAAUGAUAUGUGUAAACUGUUUUUAAAUCUGUAAACUUCGGUAAUGCUCCAUAGCCCUGUUUUGGUGACGGAUAUUGGUUAGGGGUGUUACAUAAAUCAUUUAGGCUAAUAUGAAUUUUUAUUUAAUUAUGCAUGAAACAUGGUAUUUAUUAAAUUUAUGUGAAUAUCACUUUUUCGCUGCUAAAUUAUAAAUGUGUUUUGUUAAGAAAGUAGUUCGAAUUUUUAAACUAAGUUUUCAAUAGUAAACAUCGUUAUAAUUAAACUGAACAGUUUUGAUAACUCAUGAGUUUUUCUAUAAAUUGAUCAAGUUUUCUUCUAAGAAUAAACCAAUGUUUUAAUUAACUGUUUUAAAACUCCGAUAAUUUUACCAAAUCAUUUUGAUAACCGAUAUAAUCUCCCGAUUCGAAUGUAACUUCUAGACAGAAUUGAAGAGGUUACAACUAUAAAAUUUUUCAUACAUCCACCAAAUCCCUAUGACAACAUCUAUUUAUUUUGUAUGUAGAAAAUGUUGAAUUAAUUUGCUGGACAGCAUUGCCCCACUCUUUGUCAGAUAUUGUAGAUCUGCUCUAUUAUUAGAUAUCGAUAUUCUAAAUUAUGGCUAACGUGAUGUGUGAUCUAUUUUCAUAUUUCUUCGAUGAUGAUAGUAGUAUCUUAUGGGAGGGAAUUAUUUAAUAAAAUAUUGAAUAAAUAUUAUCUCUAUCAUAAUCAUUUGUAAAGUGAUUUCUAUUAAUAAAUAUUGAAUGGCUAAAUUUUUUAAUAAAAUAAAUAAUUAAAAAAUUUUAAUUUACAUGAAUAAAAAUAAUUAAGUUAUCUUGCGAAUACACAUGUGAAUCAUGUGAUUGACCAGCAAAAUUUUGAAAAAAUUAAAUUGCCUUUCAAAGCCAUUUAAUCAAUUAGAGUUUUUCUUUUUGGCUGUUGUCACAACUAGCGUUCAAAUUCGAUAAAAAUUUUAUAUGUAUGAAAAAUAUUAAAAAAAUUAUGAUGAACUACUCAUUACAUGGCACGGUAUCAUGUGUAUAAAAACAAAAUUAAUAUUAAUCUUAUUAGCGAAAUUCAAUAAGGUGACAAUUAUUUUUAUUCAGUAAUGGAUUUUGGAAAUUGCAACUAAUUAGCAGUAAGUUGGAUUUCACCCAAAAAGCAAGUUUUAUUCACCCUGUCUUUAAUUAACAUCCUGCUUAGCUGGUUGGUCCCGUGUCAUAAUGUCAGCAGGUGCAAGCCCAUCCGCACUUAUUAAUGCUACUCAAUUAUUUGGUAAAUAAGAAUAGUGGACAAUUAAAAAAUUCAUCUAAAUAGAAACUAAUAAAUGAAUAAUUUAAUAUUAAAUAUAAUAUGAAUAAAUUGCUUUGAUUUCACAUAGAUACAAACUCAUCUCAAGACAAAUAAAAUAAUAUCCAAUAAUUCAUAUAUUUAUAUCUUGUUAGGUAUAUUGUAAAGGCCGCCCGGCCCGGCCCGACGGCCCACUAGAAAUAUGAGAGGGUUUGGGUAAAAAUAUAGGCCCGAAAUAUGGGUUUGGACAAAAAAAUGAGGCCCGUUUAAAAAACGGGCCGGGCCUCAGGCAUCACUUUUUUGGUUCGGGCUCGGCCCGAAUAUAAUAAAUAUAUAUUUAUUUUUAAUUUUAAAAUAUUUUUAAAAUACUUUUUUUUAUUUUUUAUUUUUAAAAUAAAUUUUUGGUGUUUAUUAAAAAAAUGGGUCGGGCCGGGCCGGGCUCGAGCUUAGGAAUUUUUUCCCAAGCCGGGCCUGGAAAAAAUUUCAGGCCUAUAUUUCGGGCCGGGUCGGACGCGGGCCAAAAUUUUUUCUGGGCCCGGCCCGGCUCGACCCAUGAACACCUUUAGUAUAUUCCCAAAUGAUCACAAUUUUAUAUUCAUUUUGAAUUUAACAUAUUUUGAUAAUGCAAUGUAUAAUGUUGUGUUUUCUUUAAUGUUUUGAAUUUUUUCAUGUUAUCCAUUUUUUUAUUAUGUUUUUAGUAUAAUGUUGGUAUCAUGUUCAAACUUAUUUAUUUACAUAAAAUAUUUUUUAUCCAUUUAUUAAAAUAUUAAUUUUUUAUGCUCAUCAAAUUAAGUAUUGGGUAUAAUGGUCAAAAGUAUUGCACCCUCAAGAGAAUAUAGAUUUGAAUAUUGAAGAUGAUAUUGUUAAAAAAAUAGCUAUGAACCCUUAACAUAAAUUAUAAAAUGGAUGUGAAAAGUAUAAAAAAAAAGAAUUAAAUAAGUGAAUCCAACAUUAUUUAUUAUUUUAAAUAUUCAUGAAUGAAUCUUGAGUAAAAUCAAACUUUAAUAUUUUUUUGUUCAAAGAAGAUUGAGUAAGAUAACCAAGUGUGCAAAAUUAAAUAUGUGGUGAAUGACAAUUGAUUAAGGAAUAGGAAAUUGAGUAGUAUCAGGAUUAUUGCCUUAAACAUUGACACUAGUCUAUAAAUAAUGUCUAGCCUAAACAUCAACCAAAUCACUCCCACAUCAAACAAACCACUCUCACAUUAAAUAUUGUUAGUGAAACAAUGGCGUCUUCAGCUCUGAUAAGUAAGCUUGAGGCAGAUGUAGAGAUUAAGGCUUCUCCUAAGCAGUUCCAUGAAAUGUUUGCCCACAAACCGCACCAUGUGCACCAUACUUGUUAUGACAAGAUUCAAGGAUGCGAUUUACAUGAAGGUGAAUGGGGGAAAGUCGGUACCAUUGUCCAUUGGAGUUAUGUGCAUGGUAUGAUAUAACAUAACAAACUCAGUUUCUUUUCAUGCUUAUCGCUUGAUUUGUUGCUCUUUUUGUUUUGUUAAAGAAAACAAGUUGUUUGUUUAGAUGGAAAGGCUAAAAAGGCAAAGGAAGUAGUGGAAGCAGUAGACCCUGAUAAGAAUUUGGUCACUUUCAGAGUGAUCGAAGGAGAUCUAAUGGAAGAGUAUAAGAGCUUUGUAAUCACGAUUCAAGUUUCGCCCAAGAGCGAGGGUAGUGGCAGCGUAGUGCACUGGACUUUGGAAUACGAGAAGCUGCACGGUGGGAUUGCGCAUCCUGAGACUCUGCUGCAAUUCGUUCAAGAUAUCUCUAAAGACAUUGACGCCCACCUCACCCAAGCAAGCUAAACAGUAUCACAUGUUGCUAUUGUUGCCGCUACUUGAAGCACUGUUCAUCUAUUUAAUGAAUAAAGUGACUUCCUUUCUCAUGUAUUUUGAUCUGAAUAUGUAAGUUUAGAUCAAUAUGCAGUCAAGGGGAGG